AGGCAGCCCCCUUGUGAAUGUUCGUAUGGCAGGGGAGGUGUUGCUCUACUCGAAAAUUAGAUCUUCUGCUCUUCAGACUUGCUGAGAUGAUUUUUAAUAGUCUCUGAAGCUGGUCUAGUAAGCUCCAAGUACAGU
rnacentral:snoRNA from 1 species